rnacentral:rRNA from 1 species
CCUGGUUAUUCAUAACCCUUUGUUGUCCGACUCUGUUGCCUCCGGGGCGACCCUGCCUUCGGGCGGGGGCUCCCGGUGGACACUUCAAACUCUUGCGUAACUUUGCAGUCUGAGUAAACUUAAUUAAUAAAUUAAAACUUUUAACAACGGAUCUCUUGGUUCUGGCAUCCAUGAAGAACGCAACAAAAUGCCAUAAGGAAUGUGAAUUGCAGAAUUCAGUGAAUCAUCGAAUCUUUGAACCCACAUUGCGCCCCCUGGUAUUCCGGGGGGCAUGCCUGUUCGACCGUCAUUUCACCACUCAAGCCUCGCUUGGUAUUGGGCAACGCGGACCGCCGCGUGCCUCAAAUCGCCCGGCUGGGUCUUCUGUCCCCUAAGCGUUGUGGAAACUAUUCCCUAAAGGGUGUUCGGGAGGCUACGCCGUAAAACAACCCCAUUUCUAAGGUUGACCUCGGAUCACGUAGGGAUACCC